UCCCCCAUGGCGCAGUGGUUUAGCGCCUGGCCGUGCAUUCUGUUUCCUCCGACGAGGAAAUAGAGCAGUGCAAGUGGGUUCGAGUCCCACUGGGGUAA